AGACCGAAGACCGGAGACCAGACAGGGCCCCAAAUAUCGAAUCCGAAAUGCAACAUUUUUCAGACAUCAAAGUUGCCGCAGCGAUUUUGCAAAAACCAAGAAAGACCAGAGCAAUGCCAUAGGGACACAACAGCACAAACGAUGUCAAUGGGCAUGGGGCAUGUACAGGACACUGACACAUGAGGCGGCUCCUGCUUGGGGUUGCAUCCGUCUGGCAAAAAGAGCAACAACCGCAGUCGGACGUCGGACGUCGGACGUCGGACAAGGCUGAAUGAAAGGGUGAAAGUGCCAGUGGAAGCCUCAGUGAAAGUGCGCAC
rnacentral:lncRNA from 1 species